UUUCUAGUAUAAAUAAAAACUACUCAUCUCCAGAAAAUAAACAAUGACUGCUAAGAUGAUUGAAAAAAGAAAGGAGAAGAAAGUAGCUUGUAAAAGCGUGUGAAAUUCAUUCACGUUGGAAUCUCCUACAGGCACUUCAGGUCAAAGACUCCCAAUGUCCAGAUCAUAAUGCGAGGACAGUUUGAGCCCAGUGCUCUCUGACUGAGGUAGAACCCCCGGGAAGGUGAAGAGGGCAGCCCUCUGCGAAACAGCCCAGCAUUUAAGAAUGGGCAGCACUUGCCCAGGUGCAUUUGAGAACUAGGAAUGUGGCAACAAUAACAUUUAUUUAUUUGGAUGAAGAGAAGAAGACGUAUUGGAUUCCCU
rnacentral:lncRNA from 1 species